CAAUAGCGUAUAUCAAAGUUGUUGCAGUUAAAAAGCUCGUAGUUGGAUUUCUGGUUGAAGCGACCGGUCGGGCGUUGAUUCGUCUGCACUGGAGUCGGUUUUGGCCAUCCUCUAGGAAAGUGCGUCUGGUAUUAAGUUAUCGGGCGUAUGAUCCUGGUCUUUUACUGUGAAAAAAUUAGAGUGUUUAAAGCAGGCCUUCGCCUUGAAUACAUUAGCAUGGAAUAAUAAGAUAGGACUUUGGUCUAUUUUGUUGGUUUGCAGACCGAAGUAAUGAUUAAUAGGGAUAGUUGGGGGUAUUUAUAUUCCGAUGUCAGAGGUGAAAUUCUUAGAUUUUCGGAAGAUAAACUUAUGCGAAAGCAUUUACCAAGGAUGUUUUCAUUAA
rnacentral:rRNA from 1 species